UACGUAGGGUGCGAGCGUUGUCCGGAAUUAUUGGGCGUAAAGGGCUCGUAGGCGGUCUGUUGCGUCGGGAGUGAAAACUCAGGGCUUAACCCUGAGCCUGCUUCCGAUACGGGCAGACUAGAGGUAUGCAGGGGAGAACGGAAUUCCUGGUGUAGCGGUGAAAUGCGCAGAUAUCAGGAAGAACACCCGUGGCGAAGGCGGCUCUCUGGAACGCAACUGACGCUGAGACGCGAAAGCGUGGGGAGCAAACAGG
rnacentral:rRNA from 1 species